UCUCAAUAUGGCUACUGGGUGUAAAAGAUAAAUCUUAUUCUAUCUGUUCUUCAUGAGUUUUAGAUAAUUUUAGUUGUAUUUCUUUGUAAUUUUGUGUUGUACAAAGAUUAAUUUAACAUUUUCUCUGGAAGUAUUAAUUUAGAAAGAUAAUAUGCUUCAUUGGUGUUGUGUUUUGAAGUGUGAAAUGCAAAGUAAUUGUGAUAAAGUCAAGAUAAAGUUCACUUUUAAACUGAACUAAAUAAGGUAUCUGAGAGACAACAAUGGUUAAAUGCAAUACAAUGUACAGGUUUUACUAGCGAAAUGAAAAUUUUCCUGUCCUGUCUGCUGUAAUCAUUUUAUAUCUGGUAAGUUACAAUUACAACAGUAACGAUUUUUGAAGAUGUUAACAUUUUAAUCUUAUAGGAAAAUAGGAAAACCAGCCGACUUAAUCGAUAAUAACAAUCUCCAGAUUGGGUUCCUUCAAUAAAUAUGGGCUAUAAACACAAUGAAAUAAGUUCCCCAAAAUCUAAAAUGGAGUGCUAUCAAAGGAGAAUUAAAGGAAAAAAUAUUCAUAUUGAAAUUAUUUAUAAGGCACUGGACUGUCUUAAAUUCUACAAUAAUACUAGAAUCAGCUGAGAGAAGUGGUCUACAAAAAACCAGGAAGGAAACGGAAUAUGUGGCUACGAAAGGCAAAAGAAAGGUUUACAAAGCAAAUGUGACACAUUUUUUUGAAAUAUUUAGGAAUAUCAGUAAAUUGCAUUAAAAAAUGUAUGAAAAGAUUUUGUUCAAUAAAAAUGUUUAUAUUUA